rnacentral:lncRNA from 1 species
CUUUUCUCUCUCUCUCUCUCUCUCUCUCUCUCUCUCUCUCUCUCUCUCUCUCUCUCUCUCUCUCUCUCUCUCUCUCUCUCUCUCUCUCUCUCUCUUUCUAUAUACAUGUGUGUGUGUGUGUGAGCUCACAAUGAAGAAGAAAGGGUCAACUUCUCAUUGAGAAAAAAAGGAACUCCUCACUAAAAGAAAACUCUGAUUGGUUUAUUUAAUUUGUGCGUAGCUAAUAAUGGAAUCAAUACUAGUGGCUAGUGAAAUAGAUAGGUUGACACUGUAAAUUUCAAGUGUUCUCUGAUGCUGGUCUUUUCUUCAUCUCUUCUCUGGCCUUCAAUCUGGAGUAGGCUUUUAUUUCAAUAAGAACUAAAGGGAGUUAACGGUAUGGUAUGGAUCUUCAGCUAAACUUUCUUGUAUUGAGCUCAUGACGUAAGAAAUAUUAUCGACAACAGUGGUGCGGGAUUGAUUGUAUUUUGGUGUAUGUGGUGGCAAGUAGCCUCUUGAUGUCCCAUGAAAGAUAUAUUACCUGAUGAAAUUCUGUCUUCAAAGGAAAUUGUUUGAUUUGUGAGAAUGUAUAUAUGUGAACUACUCAAAUUGUCCUGUAGCCCAUGUUUGACUGGAAGUUGGAUGAUUUUGUUUGUGGAGGUUUCUUUUGGUCUUUCUUUUGCCUUAUCUGUACUUUAUCUUCUUCUUUUUUGGUACAUUGGAGGUAACCUGGGUAGAGGAAUGAAUCUGGGUCUUUUUGUUAGAGCUUGAUGUUUCUUAUGGUGCAUUUUUUCAUUGGCCUGGUGAAGGACUGAACCUCCAACAACGUCAUUACAUUUGAAUCUUCAAGACUAGGGCCCAUUCCAUUCGGGCUUAUCAGCUCGUAGACAAGGACUUCUCUAGUCUAUCAGUUAUAUUCAUGUUGAUUACUGAAAUACUAAAUUCUCCCCAG